rnacentral:rRNA from 1 species
CCUACGGGAGGCAGCAGUGGGGAAUAUUGCACAAUGGGGGAAACCCUGAUGCAGCCAUGCCGCGUGUAUGAAGAAGGCCUUCGGGUUGUAAAGUACUUUCAGUAGGGAGGAAGGCAGUGUCGUUAAUAGCGGCAUUGUUUGACGUUACCUACAGAAGAAGCACCGGCUAACUCCGUGCCAGCAGCCGCGGUAAUACGGAGGGUGCGAGCGUUAAUCGGAAUUACUGGGCGUAAAGCGCAUGCAGGUGGUCUGUUAAGCAAGAUGUGAAAGCCCGGGGCUCAACCUCGGAACAGCAUUUUGAACUGGCAGACUAGAGUACUGUAGAGGGGGGUAGAAUUUCAGGUGUAGCGGUGAAAUGCGUAGAGAUCUGAAGGAAUACCGGUGGCGAAGGCGGCCCCCUGGACAGAUACUGACACUCAGGUGCGAAAGCGUGGGGAGCAAACAGGAUUAGAUACCCGUGUAG